GACAAAGACAGACAGAAACAGUGAGUCAGCGUCACCUCCGCCUCUCUGGGUGCAAGUCUUGGUCCAGUUCCAGGAAAGGGACUGCUUCCUGUGGCCAGGACGCCCUCUUCUGUUGAUGCACCUGUAUUAAUUUUGGGUUAUGAGUGACCUCACAGAAGAAUUGAUUGCCAUUUUUGAAGGUGUUUCCAAAGACUGACAACUCUUAUGGCAGCUUUGGAUACAGAAGAAAAAGCAGAUGUGGCAAAGAAUAACUCAUAAUAAGAAACCAUCAUCCUUUAGAGGAUCUAAAAGUACAAUAAAUGUUGCACAUGGGAGAAUCCAGUUUGCCAAUAUAUGUGCUACAAUAAGUACACCAAUCUUGAAGAUCAAUUUUAUUCCCCAUCCCCAGUUGCAUUCGGUUUAUGGAAUUGAAGCUUUUGGGGAUAUAUACAGUUUAAGGCCCCAAUCCUGCAAACUUUUACACAUGUGCUUAAUGCUAAGCCCCUGAAAGG